rnacentral:rRNA from 1 species
UACGUAGGGUGCAAGCGUUAAUCGGAAUUACUGGGCGUAAAGCGUGCGCAGGCGGCUUUGCAAGACAGAUGUGAAAUCCCCGGGCUUAACCUGGGAAUUGCGUCCGAAACUAUGGAGCUGGAGUGUGGCAGAGGGAGGUGGAAUUCCACGUGUAGCGGUGAAAUGCGUAGAGAUGUGGAGGAACACCGAUGGCGAAGGCAGCCUCCUGGGCCAACACUGACGCUCAUGCACGAAAGCGUGGGGAGCAAACAGG